rnacentral:rRNA from 1 species
UACGGAGGAUGCGAGCGUUAUCCGGAUUUAUUGGGUUUAAAGGGUGCGUAGGCGGUCCGUUAAGUCAGCGGUAAAAUUGCGGGGCUCAACCCCGUCGAGCCGUUGAAACUGGCAGACUUGAGUUGGCGAGAAGUACGCGGAAUGCGCGGUGUAGCGGUGAAAUGCAUAGAUAUCGCGCAGAACUCCGAUUGCGAAGGCAGCGUACCGGCGCCACACUGACGCUGAGGCACGAAAGCGUGAGGAUCGAACAGG